GACGAACGCUGGCGGCGUGCUUAACACAUGCAAGUCGAACGGAAAGGCCCUGCUUUUGUGGGGUGCUCGAGUGGCGAACGGGUGAGUAACACGUGAGUAACCUGCCCUUGACUUUGGGAUAACUUCAGGAAACUGGGGCUAAUACCGGAUAGGAGCUCCUGCUGCAUGGUGGGGGUUGGAAAGUUUCGGCGGUUGGGGAUGGACUCGCGGCUUAUCAGCUUGUUGGUGGGGUAGUGGCUUACCAAGGCUUUGACGGGUAGCCGGCCUGAGAGGGUGACCGGCAAGGAUGGGGGGGGUAUGCGGCCCGGGCAGCGGGGGGGGGAAGCAGGGGGGAAGGUCGCGGGAGGGGCGCGAGGUGGGGGCGCGAGCGCGGCGGGCGGGGGGAGGGCGUGCGUUUUGUGCACCGCUCGCGCGGGUGAGGGGGCGGGAGUGAGGGUACAGGCAAAAAAAGCCCGGGUCAAAUAGGGGGCAGGGGCCGGGUUUAGAGCUGGGAAGAUACCCUUGAAC
rnacentral:rRNA from 1 species